AUGAACGCUGGCGGCAGGCCUAAAACAUGCAAGUCGAACGCUGUAGCAAUACAGAGUGGCGCACGGGUGAGUAACAUGUGGGAAUAUGCCUUUUGGUACGGAACAACGUUUGGAAACGAACGCUAAUACCGUAUGGUCCCUUCGGGGUAAAGAUUUAUCGCCAAAAGAGUAGCCCGCGCUGGAUUAGCUAGUUGGUGAGGUAAUGGCUCACCAAGGCGACGAUCCAUAGCUGGUCUGAGAGGACGAUCAGCCACACUGGGACUGAGACACGGCCCAGACUCCUACGGGAGGCAGCAGUUAGGAAUAUUGGACAAUGGGGGCAACCCUGAUCCAGCCAUGCCGCGUGAGUGGUGAAGGCCUUCGGGUUGUAAAGCUCUUUAGCCGAUGAUUAUAAUGACUGUAGUCGGAGAAUAAGCCCCGGCUAACUUCGU
rnacentral:rRNA from 1 species